rnacentral:rRNA from 1 species
UUCUUUAAGAUUUUUUUUAAAGUAAGACCUGCUCCAUGAAAAAAUUUAAUAGCCGCAGAAAUUCUGUGCUAAGGUAGCAUAAUCAUUAGCUUUUUAAUUAAAAGAUAGAAUGAAAGGUCAAACACAAUACAAACUGUUUCAAUUAUUCAAUAACGAAAUUACACAUAAAAGUAAAAACCCUUUUAUAAAUAAGAAAGACGAUAAGACCCUAUAAACUUAUUAAUUAGCUGGGGCGGCACUAUAAAAAAACCUUAUUUAAAAAUAAAAAACAAAACAAAUAACAUUUAACAAGAAAUAGUUACUUUAGGGAUAACAGCGCUACUUUUUUCCAAAGUUCUAAUACAAAAAAAUCCUACGACCUCGAUGUUGAAUUAAGUUCCUUUAUAAAGCAAAAAUUAUUUAAAAGGAGGUCUGUUCGACCAAUAAAAACUU